rnacentral:rRNA from 1 species
GAUGAACGCUGACAGAAUGCUUAACACAUGCAAGUCUACUUGAACUUCGGUUUGGGUGGCGGACGGGUGAGUAACGCGUAAAGAACUUGCCUCACAGUUAGGGACAACAUUUGGAAACGAAUGCUAAUACCUGAUAUUAUGAUUUUAGGGCAUCCUAAGAUUAUGAAAGCUAUAUGUGCUGUGAGAGAGCUUUGCGUCCCAUUAGCUAGUUGGAGAGGUAACGGCUCACCAAGGCGAUGAUGGGUAGCCGGCCUGAGAGGGUGAACGGCCACAAGGGGACUGAGACACGGCCCUUACUCCUACGGGAGGCAGCAGUGGGGAAUAUUGGACAAUGGACCAAAAGUCUGAUCCAGCAAUUCUGUGUGCACGAUGACGUUUUUCGGAAUGUAAAGUGCGUUCAGUUGGGAAGAAAAAAAUGACGGUACCAACAGAAGAAGUGACGGCUAAAUACGUGCCAGCAGCCGCGGUAAUACGUAUGUCACAAGCGUUAUCCGGAUUUAUUGGGCGUAAAGCGCGUCUAGGUGGUUAUGUAAGUCUGAUGUGAAAAUGCAGGGCUCAACUCUGUAUUGCGUUGGAAACUGCAUGACUAGAGUACUGGAGAGGUAAGCGGAACUACAAGUGUAGAGGUGAAAUUCGUAGAUAUUUGUAGGAAUGCCGAUGGGGAAGCCAGCUUACUGGACAGAUACUGACGCUAAAGCGCGAAAGCGUGGGUAGCAAACAGG